UACGUAGGGUGCGAGCGUUAAUCGGAAUUACUGGGCGUAAAGCGUGCGCAGGCGGUUUCACAAGCUCGAUGUGAAAGCUCCGGGCUCAACCCGGAGACGCCAUUCGAUACUGCCAUGACUAGAGUCCGGUAGGGGGGUGUGGAAUUCCCAGUGUAGCGGCGAAAUGCGCAGAUAUUGGGAGGAACACCAAUGGCGAAGGCAGCACCCUGGGCCGGUACUGACGCUGAGGAGCGAAAGCGUGGGGAGCAAACAGG
rnacentral:rRNA from 1 species